rnacentral:rRNA from 1 species
GUCGAACGGCAGCACGAGAGCUUGCUCUUGGUGGCGAGUGGCGAACGGGUGAGUAAUAUAUCGGAACGUAUCCAAUAAUGGGGGAUAACUAAUCGAAAGGUUAGCUAAUACCGCAUACGCCCUACGGGGGAAAGCAGGGGAUCUUCGGACCUUGCGUUAAUGGAGCGGCUGAUAUCUGAUUAGCUAGUAGGUGAGGUAAAGGCUCACCUAGGCUUCGAUCAGUAGCUGGUCUGAGAGGACGACCAGCCACACUGGAACUGAGACACGGUCCAGACUCCUACGGGAGGCAGCAGUGGGGAAUUUUGGACAAUGGGCGCAAGCCUGAUCCAGCCAUUCCGCGUGAGUGAAGAAGGCCUUCGGGUUGUAAAGCUCUUUCGCAAGGGAAGAAACGAUACCGACGAAUAAUCGGUGUUAAUGACGGUACCUUGAUAAGAAGCACCGGCUAACUACGUGCCAGCAGCCGCGGUAAUACGUAGGGUGCGAGCGUUAAUCGGAAUUACUGGGCGUAAAGCGUGCGCAGGCGGUUUUGUAAGUCAGAUGUGAAAUCCCCGGGCUCAACCUGGGAACUGCGUUUGAAACUACAAGGCUAGAGUAUGGUAGAGGGGGGUAGAAUUCCACGUGUAGCAGUGAAAUGCGUAGAGAUGUGGAGGAAUACCAAUGGCGAAGGCAGCCCCCUGGACUAAUACUGACGCUCAUGCACGAAAGCGUGGGGAGCAAACAGGAUUAGAUACCCUGG